ACGCACGCUGGCGGCGUGCUUAACCCCUGCAAGUCGCACGGAAAGGCUCCAGCUUGCUGGAGUGCUCGAGUGGCGAACGGGUGAGUAACACGUGGGCAAUCUGCCCUGCACUCUGGGAUAAGCCUGGGAAACUGGGUCUAAUACCGGAUAGGACCUUUCUCCUCAUGGGGUUUGGUGGAAAGUUUUUCGGUGCAGGAUGAGCCCGCGGCCUAUCAGCUUGUUGGUGGGGUAAUGGCCUACCAAGGCGACGACGGGUAGCCGGCCUGAGAGGGUGAUCGGCCACAUUGGGACUGAGAUACGGCCCAGACUCCUACGGGAGGCAGCAGUGGGGAAUAUUGCACAAUGGGCGAAAGCCUGAUGCAGCGACGCCGCGUGAGGGAUGACGGCCUUCGGGUUGUAAACCUCUUUCAGUAGGGACGAAGCGCAAGUGACGGUACCUGCAGAAGAAGCACCGGCUAACUACGUG
rnacentral:rRNA from 1 species